UUUGAUCGAUUUCUUUUGAAACAGUGUGGCAAAGUGUAUUCGUAUCUGCGAUACGUCAAAUGUUCUUGUGUAAAGCGCCUUUGAACGUGCACACUUGCAUGAAAAGGGCGCUAUAUAAAUCCGGAAUAAUAAUAAAAUAAUAAUAAUAACAAAAAGGAGACUGCGGUUGAUCAGCCGACGGAAGUUAAGGUAAAGGUAACAAUAGAUGUCAGUAUGUUUGGGGAGGCCAGUGGUUUCGACGACAUAACGUUAGUUGUAGAAGAGGUUCGCAUUUCUGUCAUCAACGCAUUGCUGUCACUGUCAUCGCCAAUAUUUAGAGAAAUUUUCCAAAAAGAAACAAAGGAGAAGAACAAAAAGGAGAUAACUUUGUCGGAUAAAACCUUGGACACGUUUGUUCUAUUUCUGCGCUGCCUUUCUCCGGACCUUAAGGAGCGGGUAACAGCUGAUAAUGCGGCCGCCAUACUGCCAUUAGCAUCGGAGUAUCAAGUUGUGAAGCUGAUGGAACAGUGUGAAGAUUGCCUUAUGACCCUGAUUGGAGAAAAAAAAAAAGCAUCAAUGUCCUGCAAGACUCUAUUCAGCUAUUUGAAGUUGGCAGAAGAAUGUAACCGUGAACGUCUGAUUGAGUUGUGCGUUUUUCGAAUUUCAACGUUUAGAUUGGAAGAAAGGACAAAUAAUAUAAGGCAGUUCAAAAUAACCGCUAAAAGUGAAAGUCAGAUAGCAAAUAUAGCAUGUCAAAGACACGAACGUUUUGAAGACGAUAUUAGAUCAUAUUCAUAUUCAACAGCUUUAAUUGAACCGAUUUAAAAGGUGAACCAAUCAACACCAAAUAAACGGUCACUUGAUAUAUUUCAGAAUUUACGGCUUGUGUACGUAUUGUGUGGCAGACAAUGCCAACCUCGCAACUAUGGAAACAGUUUGUGCAAAAGUACCAGACGAUGUCCCUAAAUAUAAUGACUUCUUAUACCUUCAUGAAGAAUUUAAAUUGGACUUGGAGGGAAUACUCAAAUGUUUUAGGAGGAAAAAAACAUUUUAAUAACAAGUAAGCAUUGAACAAGCAUAUCGGUUCGUUGUCUUUAAAGGGCUAAGUAUGUUAUUUGUGUUGAAAAUAACAAAACUGUGUGAUAAAUACAUAAUAGUGGUUUGUUUAUACAAUAAAGAAAUGCAUACAUAUAGACGAUUGAAAAGCUAAACAUGAAACAAAACCCUUGAACUGUAUAUUGUUUUGUGAACCUUAAGUGUGUGUUUGGAGGAUGGGUGUGCAUGCAUUCGUGCGUGCGUGUGUGUGUGUAUGCUUCUGCUAUCCGUCAAAAAAUCUAUUCAGGUUUAUAAACAUAGACUUAAUGAUGAUACAAAUGUAUUAUACGUAUUUUUGUGGAAUUUUUGUGAAAGCGACCCUGUAUUUUUAUGCUCCGUCGAAUUUGUGUACGCGGAGUGUUUGGUCAUUUGUCGCAAAGAAGGAUCCUCGUCUCGAAAUGGAACAUUAACGGUGUAUUUCGAAAGCACUGUUAAUACUACACGUUUUUCCAAAAACAUAAACCUGUUUUAUUAUUUUACCGAUUUCAUUCGAUGAUUAUCAAUACAGAAAUCGAGCUUUGUAACAUUGUUCUUAGUCUUGGUGCAAUUAUGCUUGUUUGCAAUGAAUGUAAGAAAGUUCUUUUAAUCUAUGGUAUAUUUGUAAUUGUUAAUUUGCAAAUGUUCACACAAGUCAAUUAAUUACAAAUACGUUUACAAAUUAUAGUAAUAACGCAUUCAUACUUUAAUGUGAUAUAUGAAAUAUAAUAAUCAAAUUAUAGUUAUUAAUCCAGACAAGAUAUUAAACCUCUAAUUUAAAGGGUCCUUUUCACGUUUUGGUAAAUUGACAAAAUUUAAAAAAAAAGUUGUUUCAAUCUCGCAAAUUUUCGUUUAAGUUAUGAUAUUUGUUAGGAAAAAGUGAUACUGAACAUUUAUCAUGCUCUAAAAUAUCUAUUAUGUGCAUCUUUUGACGAUUUGAAAAUCUGAAAAUUAUAAAGCGUUGCAACGCGAAACGAUUGAAUAUAUAUUAUAUUUUGGGAAACUACGAGGACUGCUUUUAUAAGUAAAAAAUACAUCCGCUCAUAGCAUGAGCACGGAUGGUCGAGUGGUCUAAGCGGGAAACCUUUUACUUCAGGACUCCAGGGGUCAGUGGUUCGAGCCCAGUUUAGGGUUACUUGUUUCAUUUUUUUUUAAAUUAUAUUCUUGUUUUUUUUUUUACGGGAGAUUUGUAGGUCCAAUGAAUAAUCAAUAUAAAGCAUUUAAUGACAAGCUUCAAUACAUGCCAAAAUCUGUGAAAAGGCCCCUUUAAGUUGAUUAGUUAACAUACGUUUUCGUGAGAGCUAUCUUACCAGCGUAAUUAUCCAAUGAUACCAUACUUCCGCGCCUCCGAAGAUAGUUCGUGAAGUGAAGCCAAUCUAUGGCAGCAGCAAAGUCGGCAACGUAAAAAUAAUAAUCGGGAAACAAACACUGAUAAACAAACCGGAACAGUGAUAGACCAAAUAGAUACAAUGACAGGUCAUAUGACGUGAGGCGAGAAGAUGACAACCAGAACAGACACAGCCCCAGAACAAGGUACAGCAACAAAUGUAGAUGCAGCCAAUCCCAAAGAAACAGUUAUACUAGUGGCUCUUAUAAAAAAACGAACAAUCAUGACUCUCACUACUCUAGUAGAUACAGAAAUAAUGACUGUAGAUAUUAUAACUAGGUAAAGCUAGGGUUUUGGAAUGUAAAUGGAUGGUCUGACAAUGUUGAAACUGAUAAUUAUAUUUUUAGAGCAAAUUGUUUAAGUAAGCUUGAUAUUGAUAUACUUGCUAUUGCAGAAACACAUCUAAAAGAAAAUUGUGACCUUAAUGUUGAUAACUAUGUAUUUUUUAGUAAUAAUAGAAGGCUGCUAAAUCGACAUGCAAGAUUAGGGUCUGUUGGAGUAGGAAUUUUAGUGAAAAAAGUCAUUACUAGACAUAUUUUAUGUAAACGUUUUAGCUGAUGAAUACGUGAGUAUUUUGUGGGUCUCUUUUAAGUCAAUUUCUGAUAAAACAUGUUUUAAUAUGUGUGCUUGCUAUCUCCCUCCAAUGGGGUCAUCACGUUAUGUAAAUGCAAAUGAAUUGUUUGAUGAAUUGUUAACUGACGUAUACGAGUAUCAAAAAAGUGGUCCUUUCUACAUUUUAGGCGAUUUUAAUGCUAGAAUUGCAGAUAUGCCGGAUUACAUUGAAGGUAUAGAUGUUCUACCAGAAAGAAAUGUUGUUGAUUAUACAAAGAAUACAUAUGGUGAACUAUUUUGUAACUUUUUUAUUGACUUUUAUUGUUGUAAAGUAAAUGCAAGAAACUCCAAACUCAAUGACUUCACAUGUGUGUCAAAUAAAGGUUUGUCUGUUGUUGAAUAUAUUGUUGUCCCCUAUGAGAAUAUUGAUAUAUUGUCAAACUUUGAAGUUGCCAGGGUGUCUGAUAUUGCUGAAAAUGUACAGAAAGUAGACUUAUGCCAGAUCACUCUGUAUUAAUGUGCGAUGUUAAAUUAAAGAAUGUAAUUGUUUCAAAUGAAUGUUUUAGGGACAAAAGCGGUAGAGUCAAUAUUACAAAGAAUAAAACUAUAUAUGACACUUGUACAAUGCCGCCAAAUUUUUGUGAAGGCGAAAACUUUUUGAAUGAGGUGGUAGAAAAGUUUAAUGUGUUGCAAACAAAUGUAGAUGUGCAAAAGAAUGUAGAUAACAUGUAUGAUAUUUUUUGUGCUGGUGUCAAAAAUGAAAUUAAUUUGAAACUCCCCUCUUAGACCGUAACCAUCAAAUUCGAACGUAGUGCUAAAAAAGAAAAGUAAAAAAAGAUUGGUGGAAUGAGGAAUUGCAAAGGUUAUGGAAUGACAUGAGUGAAGCAGAAGGUAAUUGGGUAAAAAGUACCACAUUUUUUAAGUCAAACCUUAAACAUAUUUUUGUUCAAAAAAGGAAAAAAAAUUAUUAACAGUUUCAGAGAGCAAAAAUCGUUACUGGUUAGAACUUCAAGAAAAACUAAUAGAUGAAGCUGAUAAUAAUACAGUAGAUUUUUGGAAAACCAUUGGUAAAAUAGGAGUCAGAGAUAACCGAAGUAAUGGUCUGCCUUUUGAAGUAGAAGAUAAAUUGGGUAAUUUAACAAAUGAUGUGACUAAAGUUUUUGACAGAUGGACAAAUGAUUUUUGUAACCUUUUGAAUGUUGUCAGUGAUAAAACGGCAAACCAUGUUAGCCAGGAUGCCAAUUUUAUUGUUGAAGAGAAUGUGUCUGUUGAUAAUGACUUUUUUUAUGAUCAUUUUUUAAUGUUAGAUGUAAAGAAAGCUAUUUUUUAUGUAAAGAAUAAUAGAGCAGUAGGGUAUGAUGAAUUACCAGCAGCUGUCUUUAAAAAUGAUUCUGUUGUAUACUGUCUGUUAAAGAUUUUUAAUUACUGCUUUGGAAUAGGGAAAAUCCCCCAAAGCUGGGGUAAGAGUAUUAUAAAUCCUAUACCGAAAAGUUCAACUUGCAAUAUCUAUGAUCCAAUGUCAUACAGAGGUAUUACCAUUACCCCUAUUGUAUAUAAAAUCUAUUGUCCCUUACUCAAUGAUAAGCUUACACAGCAAAUAGAGGCAGAAAUAGUAUUGUUUGAAGGUUAGAAUGGUUUUAGGAAAACGAGGAGUACAAUUGAUCACUUGUCAACUCUUACGAGUAUUAUUGAUACUAGAAAAAAGAAGAAAUUAUCAACUGGGUGUGCUUUCAUUGAUUUAAGUAAGGCCUACGAUUCUGUGAAUCGCCACAUUUUAUGGAGUAAACUCGAAAGUAUUAGAACUAAUAGUCAUUUACAGAAGGCUAUUCGGUCUGUGUAUGAUAAUGUUCGGUCUGUGUAUGAUAAUGUUAUAUGCUCAGUUAGAAUUAAUGGUUUCCUUACUGACUGGUUUUCUGUUAAAACAGGUCUAAAACAAGGGUGUCCACUCUCACCAAUGCUUUUUAACAUCUAUAUUAAUGAUCUAGCAACAAAGAUUGAUGCUCUUGGAAAAGGGGUCAAGGUAUCUGAUCAAACUGUCUCGAUUUUACUUUUUGCGGAUAAUAUAGUUUUAUUAGCAGAAAAUGCGGAUGACCUACAACGUAUGUUGAAUGAACUGGAAGUAUGGUGUAAGAAUAAUGGUAUGUGUAUAAACAGUAGAAAAUCUAAUAUUGUUCACUUCAGAAAUGAGUCAGUCCAAAGAUUUCAGAAAGUUUUUAUGUGUGGUAAUGAUCCAUUUGAAUAUGUGGCACAGUAUAAGUAUUUGGGUCUUGUUCUUACUGAACACUUGAAUUAUGCAAAUACAGCAAAAAAUGUUGCUCAGUCACCCAAUAAAGUCCUCAGACUGCUUAUUGCCAAAUCCAAAUCUAUUGGGGGAUUCCCACUCCAAGCAUUCUCGAAACUGUUUGAACCCACUGUUGUUCCAGUCAUAACUUACGCAUAACUUACGGAGCUUCAAUUUGGGACAAUGAUGAUUACAGUUGUAUAAAUGCGGUUCAGCGACUAGAUUUUUUCUUAAUGUUGGAAAAUACACACCAAAUUCCACAGUAAAUGGGGAUAUUGGCUGGCUACCAAUGUGUUGUAAGAUUAAGAAAAGUGUAACUUAUCAGUGGUGUAGACUUGCUAAUAUGGAUAGAAAUAGAUUAAAUAGAAAGGUUUUUGAAUGGUCAUACCUAUGUUAAGGUAGGAAUUGUAAAAACUGGUGUUUUAAAGUUUGCAAUAUGUUUGAAAAGUUUGAUAUGAAUAGAUGUACUAAUAUUGAGUACUUUCUUAGCAAGCGAGAAAUUGCUGGUAUUGUUGAAAACAAGUUUUUUGAAGACUUUAAGGAGUCAUGGUUACAAGAUGUAAAUAGAGAAAGAGCCCGUAGUGGAGGUGGACAAAACAAACUUAGAUUUUAUAGAAUUUUAAAGCAAGUGUAUGAGGUUGAACCAUAUUGAUUACUUGUGUAAAAUAAAAGGCAUAGAGGGGCUUUGGCAAAGUUUAGAAGUGGUACAGCUCCAAUAAAUGUAGAAAUUGGAAGAUAUACAAAUACACCUCAGGAAUUAAGAAAAUGUAACUAUUGUAAGAGUAUAUGUAUAAGUGUUGUGGAAAAUGAAAAACAUGUACUGCUUGAUUGCCCAUUAUACAACGGGGUUAUACGAGAACUCAUGACUGAACUGCUAUCUCAGUUUCAAGGCUUUGACAAUUUUGAUGUUGAUGAUAAGUUAAAAAUUAUCUUGUCAGACAAUAAUAUAAUUAAAUUAGCUGCCAAAACCUGCUUUCUGAUAUUAGAAAAACGCAAAGAACAUAUAUAUUGUGAAACUAACUGAUUUUAUCCUUUUUACCUUCCGGUAUCUAGUGUUUUAUUGUAGAUAUCGGAUGCAUUUUAUGAUCCACUGUGAAACUAACUGAUUUUACCCUCUUCUUACUUAUCUAGUGUUUUAUUGUAGAUAUCUGAUGCAUCUUAUAAACAUGAUUGUAUUUUAAAGGAAUGAAUAUGUCCUUUUAAAUGUUUUAUCUUGUAGAUAUGUAAUUAAUCUUGCAUCACGUCAAAUAUUUAGCAAAUGUCUUUAAUGUUGAUAGAUAUCAGGUGAUAUUAGCAUUGUAUUUAUAUUGCCUAUGUUAUGUACUGUCUCCUAUAAUUCUAUUAUGAAUGACCAUGUGUACUUAUUUUAUAAUGUUGUAGAUAUUAUGUUUUGUAAUGAAGUACAUGUGGAUGAGACAAUAAUAAAUAUAAAAAUAAA